rnacentral:rRNA from 1 species
GACAUUGUUCAACGGCCGCGGUAUCCUAACCGUGCGAAGGUAGCGUAAUCACUUGUUCUUUAAAUAAGGACUAGUAUGAAAGGCACCACGAGAGUCAUGCUGUCUCCUUUCUCUAAUCAGUGAAACUAAUCUCCCCGUGAAGAAGCGGGGAUAAAAAUAUAAGACGAGAAGACCCUAUGGAGCUUUAAACAAGUAACACCUGCCCAUCAAAUUUCCAAUUUCAGAAAAAUUUUCUACCCCGGCAUCAUGAUUAUUAGUUUUUGGUUGGGGUGACCGCGGAAUAAAAACUAACCUCCGCAAUGAAAGACACUCAUCUACUUAAUUAAGGGCCACAACCCCACACAUCAACAAAUUGACACUAAUUGACCCAACAUGUUGAUCAAUGAACCAAGUUACCCUAGGGAUAACAGCGCAAUCCGCUUCAAGAGCUCCUAUCGACAAGUGGGUUUACGACCUCGAUGUUGGAUCAGGGUGUCCUAGUGGUGCAGCCGCUACUAAAGGUUCGUUUGUUCAACGAUUAAAACCCUACGUGAUCUGAGUUCAGAC